AUGUGUGGAAUAUCUGUGCCCAGUGAAGGCUGUUUCAAGUCUCAAGAGCAGAGCGGCUGGCCGCUAGAGGUCUCUGAUGCCCGAGGAGCUGUCAGUGGCGUGCUGGAGAGAGCAAGGGAUCACUAACACCUGAGACGGACUACAGACCAGCACGUGCCAGAGGUGGAAGUCCAAGUUAAACGCAAAAGGACCACCUCCUGAGAACCAAGAAUGUCAGUUAUACCCGAGGCUUCUCAGCAGCAGCAAGCACCUGUGGUGAAUUUCCAGGCUGAACUGAGACAAGCAUUCUUAACUGAGACAUCAAGAAGUGGUUAAAGCCGUAUUGGAACAGCAAGGAAUCUGAUUCCAAGGAAAAACCAGUCAAUGUAAUAAAGAUGUAAUCUGUAAUUUUUCAA